rnacentral:sRNA from 2 species
AAGGACCUCGGCACUGGGAUGACAAAAAGAUGGUAAAUCUCGUUAGUGAAAAGCCCUUAUUAUUUCUCGUCUUUAGAACUAACUGUCAAACGGCACUGUCCUGGAGUGGCGAAUAUAUUCGCCAAAGUGAACUCAUCGAACGAAGCUCACCGAACUGAGUGAUUUUUUCAUCGAAUUCACCACUCCUUAUCUCAAAUUCUCUGCUCAUCUAUUGAUUAGAAGUGCAAGAAUAGCCAUAAUUCUACAGAAUUUGUAUUAGAUAGAGAUGCAGACUAAUAGAAAUCUCAUGGUUAUAUAAAGCUAAUCUACGGACGAAACUGUUCAUCUGACCAGCUAAUCCCACAACCAACGCCCCUCUCCCGGUGGGCACUGAGAUGUUGAGACCCCGCGUUCAAUCACAUUUUAAUUGAUAAUCGAACAGCGCUUGAAACAAGAUCUGUUGUCGAUAACUAACCAACAAAGCCCGAGUUAAAAGCCAUGGAGGUGCCUUGGCACUUGGAAGUGGCCAGCCACCCGCGCAGAGUUCCAGAAAUGGGGGAAUGGGGUUUGUCUUGAGAAUGCUACCCCCGAGGGAGGGACUUGGAUGAAGGUUUGAAACCGGUCAAGCAAUGGAGGUGCUAUAGCGAUCCAAGUUGCGUCACGACAAGAUCGCCCACGGUCGAUGAUGCUAGGCACGAUUUGCUCAAGCGUCGAGCGGAGGAUAAGUUUUCACUGUUUAUAUCGAUCACCUUAAUAGAGAGGAGAAACCAACGGUUUGCGCAGGCGCUGUAUUCCGACACCAAUUGUGGUGGAGAUGAGAUGGGACUCUAAAGUUUACCGAUUUCUACUUCGUAUGGAAGCAUAUCGUCAUGUUUCUUCCCUGUUGGUUGGGAAGACUUUAAGAUAAACGUGAUAAUGAUAUAAUGCUAUGAAUACUAUAAAAAAAAAUUCGUUUGAUCUGAGUAAUUCUUAGGCUGUGAUAUAAACCCUGACCGUGACUCUAGUGGGAUUUCCUUGUAUAUAUGUUCAUCUAUAUGCCCAUAAACACACUUUCCGAGC